rnacentral:sRNA from 1 species
AGCUUUUAUAACUCAGCCACUUCUAAAUUUAUUCAGCCAAUACAAGACGCCGUCGUUUGAUUAGUGCUUUUUGUAU